UUCAGUCACCAGAACCAAAGGUGGAAAUUAAAAAAAAAAAGAAAGAGAAGAAAAAAAAAAAAAGAAAGAAAACAAAAGAAAAAGAAGAAGAAAGUAAAAAGAAGAUUGUGGACAGUUAUUGGGAAAGUUUUUUGAUAACUCUGAGAAGGACAAGGGUGAAAAUCUUUGACUUGCUUGAUUUCUGGAAAAGUUAUAAGAGGACCUGAUGGAGGAUAUGAUGUUUAGAGACACUGCCACCCUCUUGAGGUCAUGAGGCAUUAUUAGGACUUAAAAACCCAUUUGGUAAUAUGGGUAAAGUAGAAUUAUAUACAGAAUCUGGAUCUUUACUGUUUUUACUAAGAUGCUGACCAUGCCUAUAUUCUCCAAACUGAAAUCUCUAAAAUACCUUCAUCAUUUGUAAAAUUAUUCUUCCUUCUUUUAUAAGAUAGUUAAGUUGAAGAGCCUGUCUGGCCUUAGACCUUCUGGUCAGGAGAAGAUGGACACCAUGAUGGUUAUGGUGUGUUCUGUGGGACUCUGAGGCAGGGAGGGCUGUGUCCAUGGGUGGGUCCCUCCUCCCUGCCUCUUACCCAUGCUGUACCAAUGUUGAGAAACCCCAAAAACCUCAGUGAGUUUAUACAUCUUUCUCUCUGUCUGUCUUUAUUUCUGUUUUUACUUCCAAAGCAUAAACUACUCCCUUGCUUCUGUAAUGUUUCUUCCUCCUCCAAGAUUCCCCAAUUCAGAACUGUGCUUAAGACACAAGGACAGCCUGUCCUGAACCAGAGAGUGACUACAGAUCACCCCUCACAGCUCAGAGGGCUCACUGUGUCCUGUGUCCUUAGGGAACCAUGUUUACCUUAAGAAAAUCUGAGCUGUCCUUGUCUGACCUGGGACACCUGGACACACUGAGCCUGUGUUGAUUGACCAGGAGGAGCCUCCCUGCAGCUGUGCCCAGCCUGCCCAACCCUGCUGAUUUGCAUGUGCCCACAGCACAGUCCACUGCCCUGAGGAUUUCUUAAGAGCCUUCUCACACCCUGUGCAGGAGUCAGUCUCCGUAGGACACAGCAUGGCCAUGAGGGCCCCUGCUCAGCUCCUAGGGCUCCUGAUGCUCUGCCUCCAAGGACACACAGGUGAUACUGUGAUGAUCCAGGCUCCCCCUCCUGCCUCUCACCCAUCCACCUCCUGCAGGUCGACACAGAGCCUUCUACAAACAGAUGAAUACAUUGAUUCUUGCAGAAGGCAGGAGAAUCUAUGUGGCUUCUGACCUUUUGGGCUUCCAGUUGACUCUGGGUCUCAGAAUUGCUCUGGUGACUGAAGGAAUACAAUGAGGUCCAUCAUGAAGAGAGAAGGGACUCCAGGAAGCCACCUUGGUACCAUUUCUGACCCUGUAAGAUGCAAUACUAAUAAUAAACCAGUAGGGGUCAGAACAGACCACAAUUUGCAAAGAUAAGCUUGAUCUUGGAAAUGCUAGGAAAUAAGGAGAGACACACCCUGGUCUGCUCUGAUGGAGCUGAGGGGAUGGAAAGAUGGCGAAUACACAAAGAGGUACCCUCUCCCCUUCCAGUCAAUGUGCUUCAGAGCCUGGCUGCCUAAGUGUGCAUUUCUGUCAUCACCAAGUAUCUAGUAGUUCCUUAAAGAACCCAAUUCUAAUGGCUGUUUUAGGACUGCAGGACUCAAGUAGGGCGAGGGAGAAAUGUGUGUGAGUGCAGUCUCAUUGGUCCUGAGGUUGCCACUAAUUGGGGUUAGUUGUACCUUUGACUCACUGUGGGCACCCAAGAAAGAGGAAAGGGCAGAGUACUCAGAGGGAUGAGGUUCCUAUGUAAGGAACAGAGUCCAGGCGUGGUUAGGGGGACACUCUAUGGGGUACAAAGUUGGAGAUGGCCAGUUAGUGGUCAGAGUGCAACAGGUGUGUGGGUGUGUUGGGAGGAGUGGGGACAACCUCCAGAACCCAUAUUUCCCUUCAUUCUCUGCUGAACUCUUUUUCACUUGCUUACCUGCUUCUUUAUCACUUUACCCUGCCUAAAUCCAGGGGCCCUCAGGGCAGCCAUUAAUAACUCUGCUCCAUUCUGAACUAGGAGAUGAACAAGAUUAGAAUAUGCAGUUUUUAGGAACUUUGUAGAUUCAAGGGUGUCAAUGAGGAGCAUUGCAGAGAGGGAACCUCCCCUUCUGAAGACUUUGAUCUGAUUACUAUAUAAUACAGAGGAGGAGCUGUAAUCUGUGAAUCCAAGGAAGAUUAAAUGUGGAUAUGGAUAAUCACAAGCAGAGACAAGAAGUUCACUCGUAUUCCUCUGGUGGACAGAGACACUUCCUGACCUUGGAUGACUUGGAUGUAUGUAGAGGGACACAGCAUUCAUGGACAAUCUCUUGCUUAGCUGGAGAUGAGAAGAAGAGUAAGUGAGGACAGAUCCUGCUCAUUCUUAUAAAUUGUGACCCUCCCCCAUGUUUAUUUUGAUUUUCUCAUUCACAGAAAGGGCACAAGGGAAAUGGACCAAAGAGGAGCUGGUCUCAUCUCACUAAUAUCUGUGGGGUCUCAAGCAACCUUCAUUUAACUUAAUUGCAGUUAAUGGAUUUCUGUCCUGACUGACAGACCCUGUCAGGAUGAAAUGAAGACCAAGAAAGCACAUGACCACCUUCCAGAGAUCAAGUAAUACUCUACACUGAUGGCACAAGGAGGAUGUUGUCCUUUGUCACUCAAAACACAUUAUCCACUGCCAAGUCCAUGGUGAUCUGUUUACUCUAGAGACACUUGGGCACCCUGGACCUGUGCUGAGUGACUGGCAGGAGACCACCCUGCAGCUGUGCCCAGCCCUGCCCAGCCCUCCUGAUUUGCCUGUUCCCACAGCACAGCCCACUGCCCUGAGGACUUCUUCAUAUGCCGGUCACAUCUUGUGAAGGAGUCAGUCUGAGACAGGACACAGCAUGGCCAUGAGGGCCCCUGCCAAGCUCCUGGUGCUCCUGCUCCUCUGGCUCCCAGUGUAAGAGAAUUUGAGAAAAACACUCCUUGGACAACCAACUAGUGGCAUCAUUUGUGUGUCAUGUCCCUUGGCUUCUGUCAUGAUGUUACUUUUUUUUCCCUGGAUCUUCAUAAUUCCCCAGCUUGAAAAAUCUUGUAGGAUGGCACUCUGCACCCUCCACCCAAGCUGUCACAUUAGCAAUCUGGAACCUGGAUCGGCCCAGGAGCUGUGUCUCCAACAGGGGCCAAGCGAGAGAGAAGCAGCUGUGAUAAUUAAACUUCCAUAUAACUUUUAAACGUAAAGUCAAAAUUUAAUGUAAAAUAAUAAAUGUUUUCUCCAUGUUGCUCAAUUUACUACAAAAUUUCAAGAAGGACUAGAAAGUUUGUUUUCAUUUUUAUGCUCAUAACUAAUCCCUCUUGGGAAAUUGACAUAAAACAUAUUAAUGGGUCCAGGAAAAUCAGAGCCUCUUUGUCUUUGAAAACCAGAGUAAUUUUCCUAAUAGAAAUGAUGCCAAUGAGAAUAUUUAAUAAACAGGCUUUUAUUACUUAA